GACGAACGCUGGCGGCGUGCUUAACACAUGCAAGUCGAACGGAAAGGCCCUGCUUUUGUGGGGUGCUCGAGUGGCGAACGGGUGAGUAACACGUGAGUAACCUGCCCUUGACUUUGGGAUAACUUCAGGAAACUGGGGCUAAUACCGGAUAGGAGCUCCUGCUGCAUGGUGGGGGUUGGAAAGUUUCGGCGGUUGGGGAUGGACUCGCGGCUUAUCAGCUUGUUGGUGGGGUAGUGGCUUACCAAGGCUUUGACGGGUAGCCGGCCUGAGAGGGUGACCGGCCACAUUGGGACUGAGAUACGGCCCAGACUCCUACGGGAGGCAGCAGUGGGGAAUAUUGCACAAUGGGCGGAAGCCUGAUGCAGCAACGCCGCGUGCGGGACGACGGCCUUCGGGUUGUAAACCGCUUUCGCCUGUGACGAAGCGUGAGUGACGGUAAUGGGUAAAGAAGCACCGGCUAACUACGUGCCAGCAGCCGCGGUGAUACGUAGGGUGCGAGCGUUGUCCGGAUUUAUUGGGCGUAAAGGGCUCGUAGGUGGUUGAUCGCGUCGGAAGUGUAAUCUUGGGGCUUAACCCUGAGCGUGCUUUCGAUACGGGUUGACUUGAGGAAAGGUAGGGGAGAAAUGGAAUUCCUGGUGGAGCGGUGGAAUGCGCAGAUAUCAGGAGGAACACCAGUGGCGAAGGCGGUUCUCUGGGCCUUUCCUGACGCUGAGGAGCGAAAGCGUGGGGAGCGAACAGGCUUAGAUACCCUGGUAGUCCACGCUGUAAACGGUGGGUACUAGGUGUGGGGUCCAUUCCACGGGUUCCGUGCCGUAGCUAACGCUUUAAGUACCCCGCCUGGGGAGUACGGCCGCAAGGCUAAAACUCAAAGGAAUUGACGGGGCCCCGCACAAGCGGCGGAGCAUGCGGAUUAAUUCGAUGCAACGCGUAGAACCUUACCUGGGUUUGACAUGGAUCGGGAGCGCUCAGAGAUGGGUGUGCCUCUUUUGGGGUCGGUUCACAGGUGGUGCAUGGCUGUCGUCAGCUCGUGUCGUGAGAUGUUGGGUUAAGUCCCGCAACGAGCGCAACCCUUGUUCACUGUUGCCAGCACGUUAUGGUGGGGACUCAGUGGAGACCGCCGGGGUCAACUCGGAGGAAGGUGGGGAUGACGUCAAGUCAUCAUGCCCCUUAUGUCCAGGGCUUCACGCAUGCUACAAUGGCUGGUACAGAGAGUGGCGAGCCUGUGAGGGUGAACGAAUCUCGGAAAGCCGGUCUCAGCUCGGAUUGGGGUCUGCAACUCGACCUCAUGAAGUCGGAGUCGCUAGUAAUCGCAGAUCAGCAACGCUGCGGUGAAUACGUUCCCGGG
rnacentral:rRNA from 1 species